rnacentral:tRNA from 1 species
CCAUAGCUCAUUGGUAGAGCAAUCGACUUGUAAUCGAUCUGUUGCGGGUUCGAUUCCCGCUGGACCA